GCGGAUCCCGGCACAUCGCCAUCGCCGCAGACGCGGCCGGGGCCACCGCUGCCGCCUUUCUCACCCUUCCUCGCCCCCCGCGCGCAGCCGCCUUCGCUCCCGUCAACCACCAGGUGAUUGAUUAAAUUUUAAUAUAAGGAAGUAAUCACCUACGCCCAUGCAAAGACCUGCUCUCGCCCAUGCAGAGACCUGCAGGCUUAUUUUUAUACAGCCUUCAACAGCUGCAGCGUACUCUGUCGUGUAGCAAGACCUUUGACAACUUUAGCCAUGCCCGCGUGUCUCUUUCCCUUGUAUCUGUGCAAAAAGCAGCUGCACUUUAGACAACCCUUAGCAUCUUGAGCGUGUCUGGAGCUAACGGUGUCUGCUGUAAGUACAUGCUGAAGCAGAGUUGAUGGCACUCAAGAUUACGUAUGUGGUAUCAGCAGGGCCCGGCCGCCGCCGCCGGUGCGCUCGCCCUUACCCGGGCAGUACACAAACGAGGACGGCGCGAAAGCAGGCGGCGUUCCCUCCAGCUGGCGCCCGGUCUACAGCAGCGCUGACAACGCCACGCGGGCGCAGGGCGUGCGCGACAGCUCAGCCAACGACUCAUCGGCCGCCGCGGCCAGCGCCGGCGUUCCCUCCGCCCCGGGCAGCCCGGAGCCUGCCCAGCCGGGCGCGCUCGCCGUCCCCCCCUCCCUGCAGGCGCGCGCACUGUUGGUCAAAUUAAAAGAAAUCAUUGCGAGUAACGAAGAUGAACA
rnacentral:lncRNA from 1 species